rnacentral:lncRNA from 1 species
UUGCCCCUGCUUGUCACACUGUCGCCCGGCCAUUGUUUUGCUGCACGCCGUUGCAUUACGCUAGUGCUCGUCUACACAGCUCAUCCGUGGACGCCGGUCGACUGCCUGCAGGUGCGCAUCGGCUAUGCUAUCCGCGCGGUGUGGCGUCGCAUUGAGUCUGUGUGGUGCUAUCGCCUUGGCCGGGCGCCCGGAGCGUGAGGAAUGCGCGUCAGCAAAACAUCGACACAACCUGCCAGCUACCGUCGGUACAGUAACAGCGCGCGAACGACGCACCAAUGCCUUGUCCCUUCUUGCUACGCAUUUAUGUGGGCACGGGUGGGAGCCACACACAUCGGGACUACGCUUUCCUGCCCCUUGCCAUGUUCCAUCACGAGGAGCCACGUGGGGCGGGCCCUUGGGCGGGACCUUGCUUGGGUGGGACUAGCGACCAGCGAUCCGGAUGGAUACCGUACCGUACCCAGACCGUGUUUUCCUGGACUGAAUUCUGGCAGCUGGCAGCGGUCGCGAAAGCAAUAACCACUGCUGCAGAGGCGCCUUGACGAAUGUGCAGCCACGCACCCUGACAGAGAACUGAUUGAACACCACCAACACACCAUCUGUCCACGCCUCUCGCCCCUCAUGCUUUAGGCCCCAACGGCCCGAUUUCGCAGUCCACACCUGCACCCUGCCGCCGUCUUUAUGUUUCGUGCAAACCUACAUCGCUUGCAAAAUCGACGCCGCAGCAAGUGCGGGCCUAAUGACACGCGGGCCACAAACAUUGUAGUUACCACCACGCACACCUCACACCACAACAAAAUCACGUCCUCACGUUCCCCACCGUGCCACCGCCCCCCUCCUGCUGCUUCUACACACACACCUGCACUGCCACUCGCACACACCCCAACAGCUGUUUACACCAUCACUCCCACUGCACACCUACUCCCCGCUGUCGCCCGGCAACUGCUUUGCUGCAUUCUGUCUGCAUUUUCUCUGCGGUUGCCUCUGGUGCUCAUCCGUGGACGCUGGUCAUCUUUCCUGCAGGUGCGCCGCGGCUCUGCAUCGCGAGUGUGGCGUUGCGGUCUGUCUGUGUGGUGCUAUCGCCUGGCCGGGCGCCCGGAGCGUGAGGAAUGCGCAUCAGCAAACAUCCAGCCAGCCAGCA